rnacentral:rRNA from 1 species
CGUAGGUGAACCUGCGGAGGGAUCAUUACACAAUAACAAGGCGGGCUGGCUCUCUCCCGGGAGGACUGGCCUUGCUGAAUUAUUCACCCGUGUCUUUUGCGUACUUCUUGUUUCCUGGGCGGGUUCGCCCGCCACCAGGACCCCCAUAAACCUUUUGCAAUGGCAAUCAGCGUCAGUAACAACACAAUAAUUACAACUUUCAACAACGGAUCUCUUGGUUCUGGCAUCGAUGAAGAACGCAGCGAAAUGCGAUAAGUAGUGUGAAUUGCAGAAUUCAGUGAAUCAUCGAAUCUUUGAACGCACAUUGCGCCCUUUGGUAUUCCAAAGGGCAUGCCUGUUCGAGCGUCAUUUGUACCCUCAAGCUUUGCUUGGUGUUGGGCGUCUUUGUCUCCGGCUUGCCUGGAGACUCGCCUUAAAGUGAUUGGCAGCCGGCCUACUGGUUUCGGAGCGCAGCACAAGUCGCGCUCUCUUCCAGCCAAGGUCAGCGUCCACCAAGCCACCUUUUUUACCUUUGACCUCGGAUCAGGUAGGGAUACCCGCUGAACUUAAGCAUAUCAAUAAGCGGAGGA